UGAUACUAUUUUUUUGGUUGUCGUGAGC
rnacentral:sRNA from 1 species